rnacentral:rRNA from 1 species
UACGUAGGGUGCGAGCGUUGUCCGGAAUUAUUGGGCGUAAAGAGCUCGUAGGCGGUCUGUCGCGUCGAUCGUGAAAACUUGGGGCUUAACCCUGAGCUUGCGGUCGAUACGGGCAUGACUGGAGUUCGGCAGGGGAGACUGGAAUUCCUGGUGUAGCGGUGAAAUGCGCAGAUAUCUGGAGGAACACCGAUGGCGAAGGCAGCCUCCUGGGCUAGUACUGACGCUCAUGCACGAAAGCGUGGGGAGCAAACAGG